CCAGUCCCCUCCGCCCCCUAAAUGCGCCCCCAACCCCCAAAAUGCCCCCAGACCCCCCCCAAAUUGACCCCCCCCAAUUUAUUCCCCCCCCUCCAGCGCUUGCCUCCACCUGGCCGAGAUGCAGCAUCGGGUGCGGAAGGCGCUGGCAGAGUGCGAGCGGCUGCUGUGGGCACGGGCAUCCUGGCCCUGCAGCUGCCCCCGGGGGGCUCGACGCCGAGUCCUACAGCGCUUGCCUCCACCUGGCCGAGAUGCAGCAUCGGGUGCGGAAGGCGCUGGCAGAGUGCGAGCGGCUGCUGCUGG